GGGAAUCAUUAAUGAGGGGGCGGGGGUAAACUAAUUAGAAGCUACUCUGUAGAUCUACUGAAGUAGUUUUCUAUACAUGUGUACUGAAUUUUGGAAGUGGCUAUAUAUAUAUUUUCAUUCCUCAAUUCAGCUCAUAAAAUUGCUUCUUUUGUGUAGUAAACUAAACCUGCAUAUAAGCAGCGCGCGGUGGUUAUUGUCUAGAGGUGGUUAGUACCAACCACCACCACCGACCAGUGUGGGCACAUCACUGACUUAUACACAUGUACAGUCCAACGGUGUCCACAUUUACAUAUGACUGUAGAGGCUUCACAUUGAACAUUGGGGGGGGGUAUGGUUCAUAUAUGAUAUGGCUAGAGUCGCGUGCCCUUUGAACCCUGUCAGGAUUUGGGGUCACGUGACUGUGGUUAGGUUUGGGGGAGUACUGAGAGGGGCCCCCACGGUUAGCAUUAAGCACGCAAGUGUUGGGGGGGGGGGGGACUCAUUCUGCCUCAAGGUAUACAUAUUGAUACAAUGUAUGUAAUAAUUAUAAGUACUAAUUAGAAAGAUAGACACCCGGGUGUUACUAAAAUGAAUUCAAGAGAAAUGUGUCGAUAAAAACAACGUAUGUUAAGAUAGUUAGUUUGAGUUCAGGGUUCUGAGCGACCACCCGUCAGCGGGGGAGAGGUUGUGGACACGGUCCGGGCAAAUGUAACCAAUUGGCUCGCUGGGGUCCGAAUGUACUAGAGGAAGGCGGCACUCUGCCACCGGCUCAGAGUACAUCAUUUCCUUCUUUACUGCCUACCAUCUUCUUGUAGUACAUUGAUGAUGUAUCUAAUCAGUAGAUGCACAUGAUGCUGAGUUUACACAACUGCCCACCAUGCGGUUUCACACACCACAAUCAUUUCAAAUUUGGGAAGGCGUGGCCAGACUAAGAGCACUAGAUUUGAAAUUACAAUAAAUGGAAACAACAUCAGAUAUCUGUCUACCAGAAGCAGACAACUUUACAAAAGUUGAAUUGUCUUCGUCUGAAGUGUCCAAGUGUCUGUCCUCGAGCAAUGAAAAAUGGAGAAAGGGUAAAGGAUGUAAAGGAUGUCUCUUCUGGAUUAGCUGUGAUACAAAAGAGUAUUUCUGUCGACCUUAAAAUGGCUAAAUUGAAUGAUUAUGAUUAUUAUAAUGUUAGAACCUAUGUCGAGUUAUGCAUCUUACAUCUGAAUCCUG